rnacentral:rRNA from 1 species
GGGCUGCAGUGGGGAAUCUUCCGCAAUGGGCGCAAGCCUGACGGAGCGACGCCGCGUGGGGGACGAAGGCCUUCGGGUUGUAAACCUCUUUUCUGAGGGAAGAACGUUCUAGCUGUUAAUAGCAGAUAGAGUUGACGGUACUUUAGGAAUAAGCCCCGGCUAACUACGUGCCAGCAGCCGCGGUAAUACGUAGGGGGCGAGCGUUGUCCGGAAUCACUGGGCGUAAAGGGCGUGUAGGCGGCUAGAGUAGUCGCAGGUGAAAUCCCACGGCUCAACCGUGGAACUGCCUGCGAAACCAUCUAGCUUGAGGACAGGAGAGGAAAGCGGAAUUCCUGGUGUAGCGGUGAAAUGCGUAGAUAUCAGGAGGAACAUCAGUGGCGAAGGCGGCUUUCUGGCCUGGUCCUGACGCUGAGGCGCGAAAGCUAGGGGAGCAAACAGGAUUAGAUACCCCAGUAGUC